AUAUACUCAUGCACACACAUGUAUAUAUAAACACACACAUGCACACACAUGUGCACACACAUACAUACAUACAUACAUACACACAUAUCCUAUAAAUGUAUAAAGCAACAAAAGACUCCUUGCUUAUUUGACUAUGCCGACAUCCCGAAAAUAAAACAUAAUCUCUCAUUACCAUAAUUAUCCUUCCACAUUAACUACAACAACAACAACAACAACAACAACUGCAACAAUACACCACUGUUUUACACUAGCUGCUGCACUCAGUGUAUUGUCUCUUGUCAACUGUCAAUUGUCGUGUCUCACAUGGCGACACCAGGGACUGCUGGUCUUCAGAUGCCACCAAUCACCCGGAUUCUUAUCUUGCUUGAAGAAAUGUCAUAUCUGAAUUGCUGUGACUUGUUAGAAGUGCGGAGAAUCAACAGAUGCAACAAAUUUAAUUAAACUGUGCCAAGCAAAGAAAAUAAAAAGCAAAACAAAAAAGAAAAUCGACGAGAAGUUAGCCAGAAUACCCUAACCUUGCCACCAUGUCUUAAGAGAAAAAAGGAAAAAACACACCCAUAAAAGUUAAGCCAGUCUGUUGAAAAGGUGGUGCUAAAGCCGAUUCUAUAUUAUUUUUUAAUCCUGAAGCCUUUGCAAUGGACUUGUGUAUAUAAUACAUUUUAUAUAAAACAAUAUUUCCCAAUACGUGAUAUAAUAACAUGAAAUAAUUAAUCAGCUAAUACUUGAAUCUUGAAUCAACAUAUAUAUAUAUAUGUUUAUAUAUAUAUACACACACAUUGUUGAUGUCAUUAGAAUUUUAUAAACUUUUGAGAGAACGUGAAAUAAUUCUUUUUUGGAGAAAAUAGUUCCAGCAGUACAUUUCAUAUAGCGAUAAAGAAUAGCAUGUAAAUUGCGGGACUGAAAACCCCUUUCUGAAUAGAAAAUGUCAAAGGCAGCCUUCAACUUUUUCUAUCCAAAACGGUUUUUCAACCCUUAUUUACACAUUAUUCUUUACAGGUGUAUGUGAUGUACUUCCAGAACUACUAUUCUAAAAAUGAAUUUUAUAUAUACAUAUAUAUAUAUAUAUAUAUAUAUAUUAUAUAUAUAUAUAUGAAGUCUCAGUGGUGCAAUGACUAGUUCUCAGUUUCGAAUCCUCAUCUCACGAAUCACAGAUCUAUUUUACUUUCAAACCCUUAAGAAAGACACGAAUGAUGAUGCAACGUGUCAUCUUAUUUCGCUCUUCGAAAAUUCAAUCUGUUGGCAUGAAUGUCACAUCUUCCAAUUUCUGGUCCCACCCAGCGCCACUACUACCAGUCACUUACUAAAUGGGGGAGGGGGAAGAAACAAGCAAAAAAUUAAUUUGUCAUGCCGAUAACAGAAAUCAUGUUAUUUGAGUUCACAAAGGAGUGUGUCUUGACAUUCUAGAAGUAGCAGUCAGAUCUCUCCCGAAUCUAACCUUGAAAUUUUUAAUUUAAAAAAAUGGAAAGAAGGGUAUAUUUUACAAUGUAAUUUCUGACAUACAAAAAAAAAUUUAAUAAACAGAAAAACAAAAAAAGAAAGGAGCAAAAUUAUCCUGGCUGGAACACAUCUAUUUGGCCAGUGCUGACCAGGGGCUAAAUAACAGCAACAAUGUUAUUUAUGCCUCUUUACCUUAUUUAGAAUGAUUUCAGUUUACAUAUGUGAUUCCAGCCAGUCAGAGAGCCUCUGCUACGAAGACCAGCUAGAAAUAGUAUGGGUUUGCUCAAUCAGGAUGAACCAAAGGCAAAAACAACAACAACAGUUUAUGUUACUAAUGCUCCCUCAUCUCCAUACACCAACCCCUUUCGUUUUCUCUAUAAAUCUGAGAAAUCAAUCAUGGUCAUUAAAAAAACAAAAUGGGAGAAAGAAAAAAUUUUUUUAAAAAAGUCCUUAUUAUUGUUAUGUGUGUCAGCAAAUAUUGACAGAAAGGAAAUCUAAAACUCAGUUUAAUUUCAUAGUCAUAAUCCCUUCUUGCAUUAUUUAUAUUAUCAAUGCCUCUGAGAAAGGCAUGAAUGCUACAUCUUACAAGAACCAAAUUUCAAAUUCACUCUCUCUUAUAGAUUUACGAGUGAGGCUUUGUACCAAUCUAAGAACUUGCAUAUGCGUUUAAAUUAAUUUUAAUGUCAAUUGCAGAAAAAAGAAAAUUGGAGAGGAAAGAACGAAAAGAAUUUUAAUACGUCAAGUACCAGUAAUAUCCUGGAUAUUUCGAUUUUAUCAGUUAUUCACUUUCACUGUAGGAUUGUUGGGGGCCUUGUGCCAAUGUAAAAUUGUAAAAAAAAAAAAAAAAAAAAAAAUGAAAAGAAAAAAUUAAUGUUUUAACAUCUUGGCAAAUACCAUUUGAGAGAUGAAGCAAGCUCCAUGGAAAUCAUUGAAGUGUAGGUCUGAGAGCUGCUUCCAAUUCUUAGU